UACGGGGGGGGCAAGCGUUGUUCGGAAUUACUGGGCGUAAAGGGCGCGUAGGCGGCCUUCUAAGUCGAACGUGAAAUCCCCGGGCUCAACCCGGGAACUGCGUCCGAUACUGGAAGGCUUGAAUCCGGGAGAGGGAUGUGGAAUCCAGGUGUAGCGGUGAAAUGCGUAGAUAUGCGGAGGAACACCGAUGGCGAAGGCAAUCC
rnacentral:rRNA from 1 species